rnacentral:rRNA from 1 species
UACGUAGGGGGCUAGCGUUGUCCGGAUUUAUUGGGCGUAAAGAGCGUGUAGGCGGCCAGGUAGGUCUGCUGUGAAAACUGGAGGCUUAACCUCUAGACGUCGAUGGAAACCGUCUGGCUAGAGUCCGGAAGAGGAGAAUGGAAUUCCUGGUGUAGCGGUGAAAUGCGCAGAUAUCAGGAAGAACACCCGUGGCUAAGGCGGUUCUCUAGUACGGUACUGACGCUGAGACGCGAAAGCGUGGGGAGCGAACAGG